ensembl:lncRNA
CACGAGACUGGACGCACAAGAGGGCCACAAACACACCGUAGCCAGCAGUUACUGUUGGAGGACCUGCUCUCCUGGAAGACAGAAGGUAUUAAAUGUAAGGUGGGAUAAGGAACACAGCCAGCCAGGACACCAAAUGUGCAGACUUAAAAACCACGGCAAGAGUUAACGUUUGGGAGAAAAGUGCACAUAAAAUUGUAAGGCUUUUCUUGAUGUCCAGAACGAUAGUGUGAAUCCUCAGAGUAAGAACAUGAAGCUGGCAUCCUCUCCCUGCUUCUCUGGGGCCGAAGCCACGGUCCAGGCAAAGAGCUCGCCUCCCAUGCUGCACGUGUGGCAUAGCGUUCUCACUGGUAGUUUGGGGCUGGGAUGAUUCUAUUUCAGCCACGGUCGGUGAAGAGUCUUAUUAAAAUUCCCACUGCGAGGAUAGCAACGGCCAAAACUGCAGCAGCCCUGCCCUACACAAUCAGCUGGGUCCCCGUCAGGACGUCAUGGCAGGGGCCGCCCUGAUCAGCUGUGCAGUCUGGCUCUUGGGUCGGAUGAGGUCCAGCAGGAUGGCCCCAGCCGGUGCUUCUUUCUCCAGGAUGGACAGAUCUGCGCUGCCACACGGUUCCAGUCGAUGCUCCAGAUGUACACCAGGUAGAGGAGGGUUUAGAAGACCAUCAGCCCAGACCAGAGACCUUUGAAGGCCUUGAUGAAAUGCAGGAGACAGGUAGCUGUCCACGACUUCACCAAUAAAAAAGCAGGGAUGUCAUUGUGGUUUCUUGGUUUUGGCCAUGCCACUUAGCUUGUGAGAUUUUAGUUCCCCAACCAGGGAUUGAACCCAUGCUUCUGUAGUGAAAGGGCAGAGUCCUAAUCACUGGACUAUUAGGGAACUCUCCAAAAUGCAGGUCUUCAAAGAAGGUAUAAUUUCAAUCCAUGGUGGAUGGGAGACACUUUACUAUGAGGCACUGGCCAGGAGCGCCUCCAGCCCCGCCGUCUGGACCCCAAGUCGGGCGGCAGAGGUCCUUGCAGAGCCUGUAGGUGUUCGCGCCAGCAGGGGGCCGCAGGGGUCUGGUCUUUCCCAGCAAAGGCCAGGUCUGGCUGCAUCCAAGCUUCACCCCUUAAUCCAAGGCCUCUGUCUGUCCUCCUGCCCACUAAGAGUUAGGAGUAAUGGGGUUUUCAUGACUCCAAGACUUUCCCAACGAUCCCCAAAGUUAAGGAGAAGGGCAUGUUCAUUAGAAUCUCAUCUUUUUGAGAUGGGUCCACCCGGAAUCUUCUGGAUAUAUGCAAGUAAGUGUUAGUUGCCCAGUCUUCCCUGACUCUUUGCUACCCCAUGGACUGCAGCCCACCAGACUCUUCUGUCCAUGAGAUUUUCCAGGCAAGAGUACUGGAGUGGGU